UUACACAUGCCAUUAAAUCCACCAUUAAAGCUAAAUGCUGUGCUUAUGGGAUAAAUUAAAGGUGCCAUGAUCUGAAGGGAGAGGGCUUUUCCGUGCCCUCCCUCUAUAUGAAAUGGUUGGAGAGUGAAAA
ensembl:snoRNA LOC120095429 small nucleolar RNA SNORA29